CACGUAGUUAGCCGGCGCUUUUUCUGCAGGUACCGUCACUUUCGCUUCUUCCCUGCUAAAAGAGGUUUACAACCCGAAGGCCGUCAUUCCUCACGCGGCGUUGCUGCAUCAGGCUUCCGCCCAUUGUGCAAUAUUCCCCACUGCUGCCUCCCGUAGGAGUCUGGGCCGUGUCUCAGUCCCAGUGUGGCCGGUCACCCUCUCAGGCCGGCUACCCGUCGACGCCUUGGUGAGCCAUUACCUCACCAACAAGCUGAUAGGCCGCGAGCCCAUCCCAGACCGAAAAAUCUUUCCAACCCCCACCAUGCGAUAGAGGCUCAUAUCCAGUAUUAGACACCGUUUCCAGCGCUUAUCCCAGAGUCCAGGGCAGGUUGCUCACGUGUUACUCACCCGUUCGCCACUGAUCCACCAAGCAAGCUUGGCUUCACCGUUCGACUUGCAUGUGUUAAGCACGCCGCCAGCGUUCAUCCUGAGCCAGGAUCAAACUCU
rnacentral:rRNA from 1 species